rnacentral:rRNA from 1 species
AUUGAACGCUGGCGGCAGGCCUAACACAUGCAAGUCGAACGAGCGGCGGACGGGUGAGUAAUGUAUGGGAAACUGCCUGAUGGAGGGGGAUAACUACUGGAAACGGUAGCUAAUACCGCAUACUAUCAGAUGAGCCCAGGUGGGAUUCGCUAGUUGGUGGGGUAACGGCUCACCAAGGCGACGAUCCCUAGCUGGUCUGAGAGGAUGAUCAGCCACACUGGAACUGAGACACGGUCCAGACUCCUACGGGAGGCAGCAGGGGGGAAUAUUGCACAAUGGGCGCAAGCCUGAUGCAGCCAUGCCGCGUGUAUGAAGAAGGCCUUCGGGUUGUAAAGUACUUUCAGCGGGGAGGCGUUACCCGCAGAAGAAGCACCGGCUAACUCCGUGCCAGCAGCCGCGGUAAUAC